CGGGGGGCAGCAGUUUCGAAUCGUUCACAAUGGGGGCAACCCUGAUGGCGCGACGCCGCGUGGGGGAUGAAGGUCUUCGGAUUGUAAACUCCUGUCAUUGGGGACUAAUGGCCAGGCUCAUACCCUGGUUUGAAUUAACCCAAAGAGGAAGCAGUGGCUAACUCUGUGCCAGCAGCCGCGGUAAUACAGAGACUGCAAGCGUUACUCGGAUUCACUGGGCGUAAAGGGAGCGCAGGCGGACUCGUGUGUCGGACGUGAAAUACCGGGGCUCAACCCCGGGGCUGCGUCCGAAACUACGAGUCUAGAGACUUGGAGGGGUAAGCGGAAUUCUUGGUGGAGCAGUGAAAUGCGUAGAUAUCAAGAGGAACACCAACGGCGAAGGCAGCUUACUGGACAAGAUCUGACGCUCAGGCUCGAAAGCGUGGGGAGCAAAAGGGAUUAGAUACCCCGGU
rnacentral:rRNA from 1 species